rnacentral:ncRNA from 2 species
GCUUCCGAGGAGCGUUGCAACCUCAGCACCUUUGAGGCCAGGCUCGGAACCUAUCCCACUGCAACUGCGCUCACCCGCU